UGUGCCAGCAGCCNGCGGUAAUACGUAGGGUGCGAGCGUUGUCCGGAAUUACUGGGCGUAAAGGGCUCGUAGGUGGUUUGUCGCGUCGUCUGUGAAAUUCCGGGGCUUAACUCCGGGCGUGCAGGCGAUACGGGCAUAACUUGAGUACUGUAGGGGUAACUGGAAUUCCUGGUGUAGCGGUGAAAUGCGCAGAUAUCAGGAGGAACACCGAUGGCGAAGGCAGGUUACUGGGCAGUUACUGACGCUGAGGAGCGAAAGCAUGGGUAGCGAACAGGAUUAGAUACC
rnacentral:rRNA from 1 species